CUUCGGGUAUUGAGGAUGGCGGACGGGUGAGUAACGCGUAAGGAACUUGCCUCUUGGACUGGGACAACUGUUGGAAACGACAGCUAAUACCGGAUAUUAUGAGAUUCUCGCAUGAGAAACUUAUGAAAGCUAUAUGCGCCAAGAGAGAGCCUUGCGUUCCAUUAGCUAGUUGGUGGGGUAAUGGCCCACCAAGGCGACGAUGGAUAGCCGGCCUGAGAGGGUGAACGGCCACAAGGGGACUGAGACACGGCCCUUACUCCUACGGGAGGCAGCAGUGGGGAAUAUUGGACAAUGGGCCACAAGCCUGAUCCAGCAAUUCUGUGUGCACGAUGAAGGUCUUCGGAUUGUAAAGUGCUUUCAGUUGGGAAGAAGAAAGUGACGGUACCAACAGAAGAAGCGACGGCUAAAUACGUGCCAGCAGCCGCGGUAAUACGUAUGUCGCAAGCGUUAUCCGGAUUUAUUGGGCGUAAAGCGCGUCUAGGCGGAAAAAUAAGUCUGAUGUUAAAAUGCGGGGCUCAACUCCGUAUUGCGUUGGAAACUGUUUUUCUAGAGUACUGGAGAGGUGGGCGGAACUACAAGUGUAGAGGUGAAAUUCGUAGAUAUUUGUAGGAAUGCCGAUGGAGAAGUCAGCUCACUGGACAGAUACUGACGCUGAAGCGCGAAAGCGUGGGGAGCAAACAGGAUUAGAUACCCUGGUAGUCCACGCCGUANACGAUGAUCACUAGGUGUUGGGGGUCGAACCUCAGCGCCCAAGCUAACGCGAUAAGUGAUCCGCCUGGNGAGUACGCACGCAAGUGUGAAACUCANAGGAAUUGACGGGGACCCGCACAAGCGGUGGAGCAUGUGGUUUAAUUCGACGCAACGCG
rnacentral:rRNA from 1 species